rnacentral:rRNA from 1 species
AGCGAACGCUGGCGGCAGGCCUAACACAUGCAAGUCGAACGAAGUCUUCGGACUUAGUGGCGGACGGGUGAGUAACACGUGGGAACGUGCCUUUAGGUUCGGAAUAACUCAGGGAACCUUGUGCUAAUACCGAAUGUGCCCUUCGGGGGAAAGAUUUAUCGCCUUUAGAGCGGCCCGCGUCUGAUUAGCUAGUUGGAGAGGUAAAGGCUCACCAAGGCGACGAUCAGUAGCUGGUCUGAGAGGAUGAUCAGCCACAUUGGGACUGAGACACGGCCCAAACUCCUACGGGAGGCAGCAGUGGGGAAUCUUGCGCAAUGGGCGAAAGCCUGACGCAGCCAUGCCGCGUGAAUGAUGAAGGUCUUAGGAUUGUAAAAUUCUUUCACCGGGGACGAUAAUGACGGUACCCGGAGAAGAAGCCCCGGCUAACUUCGUGCCAGCCGCCGCGGUAA